ACUUGAGCAAAAUAAAUAAAAUUUAAUUUGGAUUCUUUCCAAGUUCCUCCCUAAAUCCGGUGCUAAACAAAUUGCAUUGGCCUUACUCACAUGAAAUAUUUUUUCUAAUUUGUAUUCAGGAAUAAUAUUUUUCUUAUUUUUAUUUAAUUUACCUUGUUAGAAACUUUAUCAAUACACAUUAAAGACAAAAAAUGUGUGAACAGAAAAAAAUGUAUUUACAAAAAAUUGUUUGAUCAAUAGUAUGGCAACAGGCUGAAAAUCCAGUACGAGCUGAUAUCACUUGUGAAAAUUAACAUAAACACAUUUAAUAUCUAUGUAAUUUACUUAUCUUACUAUAUUUUGUAUGUGAGGA